AUACGGAGGAUGCGAGCGUUAUCCGGAUUUAUUGGGUUUAAAGGGUGCGUAGGCUGUGCGUUAAGUCAGGGGUGAAAUGCCGUCGCUCAACGACGGAGCUGCCCUUGAUACUGGCGUGCUGGAGUACGGAUGCCGUUGGAGGAAUGAGUGGUGUAGCGGUGAAAUACUUAGAUAUCACUCAGAACACCGAUUGCGAAGGCAUCUGACGAAUCCGUCACUGACGCUGAGGCACGAAAGCGUGGGGAUAGAACAGGAUUAGAUACCCUGGUAUUCCACGCCGUAAACGAUGAUGACUAACCGUCGGCGAUAGACAGCAGGUGGCCAAGCGAAAGCGAUAAGUCAUC
rnacentral:rRNA from 1 species